GUGGGGAAUCUUAGACAAUGGGGGAAACCCUGAUCUAGCCAUGCCGCGUGAUCGAUGAAGGCCUUAGGGUUGUAAAGAUCUUUCAGGUGGGAAGAUAAUGACUGUACCACCAGAAGAAGCCCCGGCUAACUCCGUGCCAGCAGCCGCGGUAAUACGGAGGGGGCUAGCGUUGUUCGGAAUUACUGGGCGUAAAGCGCACGUAGGCGGAUUGGAAAGUUGGGGGUGAAAUCCCGGGGCUCAACCCCGGAACUGCCUUCAAAACUCCCAGUCUUGAGUUCGAGAGAGGUGAGUGGAAUUCCGAGUGUAGAGGUGAAAUUCGUAGAUAUUCGGAGAAACACCAGUGGCGAAGGCGGCUCACUGGCUCGAUACUGACGCUGAGGUGCGAAAGCGUGGGGAGCAAACAGGAUUAGAAACCCCAGUAGUCC
rnacentral:rRNA from 1 species